GUAAGGAAUAUUGGUCAAUGGACGAAAGUCUGAACCAGCCAUGCCGCGUGAGGGAUGAAGGUCCUCUGGAUUGUAAACCUCUUUUAUCUAUGAAGAAAUGUCCUGUUUCUACGGGAUUUGACGGUAAUAGAUGAAUAAGCACCGGCUAACUCCGUGCCAGCAGCCGCGGUAAUACGGAGGGUGCAAGCGUUAUCCGGAUUUACUGGGUUUAAAGGGUGCGUAGGUGGGUUGGUAAGUCAGUGGUGAAAUACUUUCGCUUAACGAAGGAACUGCCAUUGAUACUACCAGUCUUGAAUACAGUGGAGGUAGGCGGAAUGCGUCAUGUAGCGGUGAAAUGCUUAGAUAUGACGCAGAACACCAAUUGCGAAGGCAGCUUGCUACACUGUUAUUGACACUGAGGCACGAAAGCGUGGGGAUCAAACAGGAUUAGAUACCCUUGUAGUCC
rnacentral:rRNA from 1 species